GAUGAACGCUGGCGGCGUGCUUAACACAUGCAAGUCGAACGGAAAGGCUCCUGCUUGCAGGGGUACUCGAGUGGCGAACGGGUGAGUAACACGUGGGUGAUCUGCCCUGCACUUCGGGAUAAGCCUGGGAAACUGGGUCUAAUACCGGAUAGGACCACAUUUUGGAUGGUGUGGUGGGAAGUUUUUCGGUGUGGGAUGAGCUCGCGGCCUAUCAGCUUGUUGGUGGGGUAAUGGCCUACCAAGGCGUCGACGGGUAGCCGGCCUGAGAGGGUGUACGGCCACAUUGGGACUGAGAUACGGCCCAGACUCCUACGGGAGGCAGCAGUGGGGAAUAUUGCACAAUGGGCGCAAGCCUGAUGCAGCGACGCCGCGUGGGGGAUGACGGCCUUCGGGUUGUAAACUCCUUUCGCUAGGGACGAAGCGCAAGUGACGGUACCUGGAGAAGAAGCACCGGCUAACUACGUG
rnacentral:rRNA from 1 species